GUGCAGGGGUCCUUAGCUGCUGCGCACACAUGGUGCAAAGAUUACACUGUAUCCAAACAGCCGCAUUUUCUCACAACGCUCUUCUCUGUCCUCCUGCUCUUUCCCUUCUGUGCCAUUUUCUGGGCUUUGAGGCAUGAGAAAGUUGGGCUGCAGUUCCUGUUAAAUUUGAGCAGAAACGUUCCAUAUGGACGACUCGCCAGCAAAUGCAGAAAGAUUCAGCGAGCAUCUCCUGACCACAGGGUGAGGUCUCCACAUCACGCGGCCUCAGUUCACUCCCUAGCAUUGGCACGGAAGCCAUGUCAGGAAGAUGGGCAUCAGAGAGUGACCAAAGGCCCUAUUGGUGUUGUGGCCUUAAGCACAGUUAUCUCUUUCUGCCUGACAAACCUGCCUGCCCAACACAGUCUCCACAGGCUUUGGCACCACGCUGCCUUGUGAAGGGUAGAAAAGAAUUCUGGGUAUCUAAGUAAGGCAUGGAGAGUAUGUUCUAAGCCAGACUGGAAGAGGAGACAAUGCAGGGAACAGAAGGUCGUUAUGUAAGCAGAGAUAAAAGAAGACAUUGCCUCCACUGAAAACAAGCAAGAUGCGUUAAAGGAAAACGUUUGGAGCAGAAGAAAAUUUUUCUAGGGAAUUAAAAACAAGUUAACACUUAA
rnacentral:lncRNA from 1 species